UAUACUCUAGUGUAAUGGCACAUCAGAUUUUGAUUCUUAUAGUAAUGGGGCAAUCCCAUUGAGUAUAA
rnacentral:tRNA from 1 species